rnacentral:rRNA from 1 species
GUGGGGAAUAUUGGACAAUGGGCGCAAGCCUGAUCCAGCCAUGCCGCGUGUGUGAAGAAGGUCUUCGGAUUGUAAAGCACUUUAAGUUGGGAGGAAGGGCAGUAAGUUAAUACCUUGCUGUUUUGACGUUACCGACAGAAUAAGCACCGGCUAACUUCGUGCCAGCAGCCGCGGUAAUACGAAGGGUGCAAGCGUUAAUCGGAAUUACUGGGCGUAAAGCGCGCGUAGGUGGUUUUGUAAGUUGGAGGUGAAAUCCCCGGGCUCAACCUGGGAACUGCCUCCAAAACUGCAUGACUAGAGUACGGUAGAGGGUAGUGGAAUUACCUGUGUAGCGGUGAAAUGCGUAGAUAUAGGAAGGAACACCAGUGGCGAAGGCGACUACCUGGACUGAUACUGACACUGAGGUGCGAAAGCGUGGGGAGCAAACAGGAUUAGAAACCCUGGUAGUCC